UCGAACCAAUAUCACAUUUUGAAGUCCACAUUCCUAUUUUGCUCUGACCUCUCGUCAGAAGGUCAUAACUUUUUAACCCAAUUUUUACUGUAUACAAUAACGCAAUACAGUUGUUCUUAGUUUCUACUUUCUUUUAUCGUUUGAUAUUUGGCUUCAUCAUCGCGCUCUUUAUUUCAAAUUGAUUCAGCAAAGCCUCCAUUAUUUCUUGUUUUAAGCUCCUUUUCUCUUCUUCGACUGGGAGUUGAAGAGGAACAAUAUGGUACUUUAGGAAUUCAAUGUAUUGGGAAAACUUUGGUAUUAAAGUUACUGGCAUAUAUGAGUUUUUCAACUUUCUCAAAUUUAUUAAUGCCAAAGAAAGAGAAAAGAAGCUUGGCUCUUGCGUGCGUUUUGAUAACCUGCUACAUUGUUAUCAAAAGAGAGACGACUAUAAGACUCUCUUACUUCAUAUAUAUUCCGCUUGAAUCAAUUUAUUUUUCCUAAAAUGAAAUUGUCUGAUUUUUAAUAUGAAAAUCAAUGCUUAUGCCCUUCUCACACUUAUGCAUCUUCCAAAAGAUUUUUUGCUGUGUCGUGGUAGUCCAUUCAUGUGCCUGUUCUGUUCAACACUUCGGAGUCUGGUAUUGCUCUUCUAUUGGCAUUGCAACACACUUUGUUAUGAAUAGAUCCAACCAAAUAUGAAGCUCCUCCUAUGAUGCUGUUUUCAGAAUAGCGAGACUUGACUGCUAAGCUCCCCACUACAGCUGAUACUCAGAGCCUCAAAGGGAAUGAUGGGUUAGAACGUACGCAGGAUGUGCUUGAAGACAAACAGUUCCUAUAUUUUGUUGGUGUCAUAUCUUCAAUAGUUUAUUGUAAUAAUUGGUAGGUACGGGGUUCUUAUGUUAUCUUUGAAAGAUACUGUUAAAGGCAUGUCUACUAUGCACAAGAUGUAACCAUCUUACUGUGCACAAGAUGUACCAAAACGUUUUAAUGCUUAUGGUUAUGCAUGUAUUUUCAUUUAUAUAAGGAGCAGUGCCAAUAUUGUCACCAGAAUAUUUGCGAAAAACAACAUAAAAAGCUCAACACGUUACCAUGUUGGGCCCGUGCUAAUCACGGGAAGCUACAUCUAGUUUCUAUAUAAUAGAAAUAGAAAAGGUUGGAAAUAUUGUUUUUUUUGUCUCUUA